AUCCCUACGGGGCGCAGCAGUAGGGAAUCUUCGGCAAUGGGGGCAACCCUGACCGAGCAACGCCGCGUGAGUGAAGAAGGUUUUCGGAUCGUAAAACUCUGUUGUUAGAGAAGAACGUUAAGUAGAGUGGAAAGUUACUUAAGUGACGGUAUCUAACCAGAAAGGGACGGCUAACUACGUGCCAGCAGCCGCGGUAAUACGUAGGUCCCGAGCGUUGUCCGGAUUUAUUGGGCGUAAAGCGAGCGCAGGUGGUUCUUUAAUUCUGAUGUAAAAGGCAGUGGCUCAACCAUUGUGUGCAUUGGAAA
rnacentral:rRNA from 1 species